rnacentral:piRNA from 1 species
UAGCUCCGCCUCUUCGGCACACCUGCGU